AGGAGCGUAGCUCAAAGGUAGAGCACUGGGUUGUGGUCCCAGUUGUUGCGGGUUCGAUUCCCGUCGCUCCUCCCA
rnacentral:tRNA from 1 species